GGGCGUAGAGGGCUCGCAGGCGGUUUCUUAAGUCUGAUGUGAAAGCCCCCGGCUCAACCGGGGAGGGUCAUUGGAAACUGGGGAACUUGAGUGCAGAAGAGGAGAGUGGAAUUCCACGUGUAGCGGUGAAAUGCGUAGAGAUGUGGAGGAACACCAGUGGCGAAGGCGACUCUCUGGUCUGUAACUGACGCUGAGGAGCGAAAGCGUGGGGAGCGAACAGGAUUAGAUACCCUGGUAGUCCACGCCGUAAACGAUGAGUGCUAAGUGUUAGGGGGUUUCCGCCCCUUAGUGCUGCAGCUAACGCAUUAAGCACUCCGCCUGGGGAGUACGGUCGCAAGACUGAAACUCAAAGGAAUUGACGGGGGCCCGCACAAGCGGUGGAGCAUGUGGUUUAAUUCGAAGCAACGCGAAGAACCUUACCAGGUCUUGACAUCCUCUGACAAUCCUAGAGAUAGGACGUCCCCUUCGGGGGCAGAGUGACAGGUGGUGCAUGGUUGUCGUCAGCUCGUGUCGUGAGAUGUUGGGUUAAGUCCCGCAACGAGCGCAACCCUUGAUCUUAGUUGCCAGCAUUCAGUUGGGCACUCUAAGGUGACUGCCGGUGACAAACCGGAGGAAGGUGGGGAUGACGUCAAAUCAUCAUGCCCCUUAUGACCUNGGCUACACACGUGCUACAAUGGACAGAACAAAGGGCAGCGAACCCGCGAGGUUAAGCAAUCCCACAAAUCUGUUCUCAGUUCGGAUCGCAGUCUGCAACUCGACUGCGUGAAGCUGGGAUCGCUAGUAAUCGCGGAU
rnacentral:rRNA from 1 species